AUCUCUUCGGAGACGUCCGAUAAAAGUGGACCGAUAAAGAGAUGAUAUUUAGCAAGGCCCCUGUGCAAGGAUGACAUGUACAAAUUGAGAAAAGGUUCAUAUGUUG